ACCCUUCCUGCAAGAGGCCCCCCUCGCGGCGGAGUGCCGCUGGCAGCCUCUCCCGACUCGGCGUGUUUACGCCGCAAAGCCCCUCGCGCAGUCGCAGGGAGGCAUGGCUCCUGCCAAGUUUUUCCGCAAUCCCGGGCAACGUUGCUGCUGCCGUUGCCGCUGUGCGAUUCCCCAAUUGAGUCAUUUGCAGAAAGGGUAGAAGAUAAAGGCCUAACCCUGAAAUUUCCUGCCCCAUGCCCGCUGCUGGCACCGCUGUCGGAAUCGGCCUCAACAAUCGCAUCAGAUUGGCCUACUCUUCCACGCUGGCCGGACGUGUUUGAUCAACCCCAACCACCCUGGCUGCCCGUGCUGUCACCAAAUCUCUCCCCCAGCCAUCCGCCCGACGCAGCAACCCUCCGGGAAGUCCCCUGCGAAUCAUCAGGGACAACAGUCGCGGGCCUUCCCAUCCACCAGGACCUCAAUAACAUCCCUCGACAUCACUUGAAGUCACGCAGCAAGCCCCCUUUUUGGACCCCAUGAGCUUAACCUUCAACGAUGCGAGUUCGACUCCCCCAUGAAGCUUGGCAGAGCUGAAUGGAGGUCAACAGAACUCACGGACAGACGCCGCCUUGCUGCGAAAGAGCCAACGCAAAAAAUCCCCUGGGGUUUUUGAUCAUCCACGAAGCUGCUUGUCUCGGCCUCGCUGUGCACUGCGUUGCACCGCUAGCUGAGUAGUUAACCUCGCGUUCAAUAAACCCUCGGAGCCAGGAUGAA